rnacentral:rRNA from 1 species
GACGAACGCUGGCGGCGUGCCUAAUACAUGCAAGUAGAACGCUGAAGGAGGAGCUUGCUUCUCCGGAUGAGUUGCGAACGGGUGAGUAACGCGUAGGUAACCUGCCUGGUAGCGGGGGAUAACUAUUGGAAACGAUAGCUAAUACCGCAUAAUAGCAGUUAUUGCAUGAUAACUGUUUGAAAGGUGCAAUUGCACCACUACCAGAUGGACCUGCGUUGUAUUAGCUAGUUGGUGGGGUAACGGCUCACCAAGGCGACGAUACAUAGCCGACCUGAGAGGGUGAUCGGCCACACUGGGACUGAGACACGGCCCAGACUCCUACGGGAGGCAGCAGUAGGGAAUCUUCGGCAAUGGACGGAAGUCUGACCGAGCAACGCCGCGUGAGUGAAGAAGGUUUUCGGAUCGUAAAGCUCUGUUGUAAGAGAAGAACGAGUGUGAGAGUGGAUUCUUCACACUG